rnacentral:tRNA from 1 species
GGUCUCGUGGUGAAUGUAUUUCAUGUUGAAUUGCAAAUUCAGAGUAGUAGAUUAGUUCUGCCGAGGCUU